rnacentral:rRNA from 1 species
UGCCAGCCGCCGCGGUAAUACGGGGGAUGCAAGCGUUAUCCGGAAUCAUUGGGCGUAAAGCGCCUGUAGGUUGUUUAUUAAGUCUGUUGCUAAAGACUAGGGCUUAACCCUAGAAAAGCAAUGGAAACUACUAGACUAGAGUAUGGCAGGGGUAGAGGGAAUUUCUAGUGUAGCGGUGAAAUGCGUAGAUAUUGGGAAGAACAUCAGUGGCGAAGGCGACUCACUGGUCCGAUACUGACGCUGAGGUGCGAAAGCGUGGGUAGCAAACAGGAUUAGAUA